GUUUAACGGCCGCGGUAUUUUGACCGUGCAAAGGUAGCGCAAUCACUUGUCCUUUAAAUAAGGACCUGUAUGAAAGGCAAAACGAGGGCUUUACUGUCUCCCCACUCAAGUCAGUGAAAUUGAUCUGCCCGUGCAGAAGCGGACAUAUACAUACAAGACGAGAAGACCCUUUGGAGCUUUAGACACAAGUCACCUAUGUUAAUAAUACUGCCCCCCAGUCAAAACUAAGUAGAGCUGACCCAUGUCUUCGGUUGGGGCGACCGCGGGGAAAAACAAAACCCCCACGUGGAGAUGAGACAAACCCCUUACAACCUAGAGGAACCCCUCUAAGUCACAGAACUUCUGACCAACAGAUCCGGCCACCCGCCGAUCAACGGACCAAGUUACCCAAGGGAUAACAGCGCAAUCCUCUUUAAGAGUCCCCAUCGACAAGAGGGUUUACGACCUCGAUGUUGGAUCAGGACAUCCUAAUGGUG
rnacentral:rRNA from 1 species